rnacentral:rRNA from 1 species
UGAACGCUGGCGGCGUGCCUAAUACAUGCAAGUCGAGCGAACGGACGAGAAGCUUGCUUCUCUGAUGUUAGCGGCGGACGGGUGAGUAACACGUGGAUAACCUACCUAUAAGACUGGGAUAACUUCGGGAAACCGUAGCUAAUACCGGAUAAUAUUUUGAACCGCAUGGUUCAAAAGUGAGAGACGGUCUUGCUGUCACUUAUAGAUGGAUCCGCGCUGCAUUAGCUAGUUGGUAAGGUAACGGCUUACCAAGGCAACGAUGCAUAGCCGACCUGAGAGGGUGAUCGGCCACACUGGAACUGAGACACGGUCCAGACUCCUACGGGAGGCAGCAGUAGGGAAUCUUCCGCAAUGGGCGAAAGCCUGACGGAGCAACGCCGCGUGAGUGAUGAAGGUCUUCGGAUCGUAAAACUCUGUUAUUAGGGAAGAACAUAUGUGUAAGUAACUGUGCACAUCUUGACGGUACCUAAUCAGAAAGCCACGGCUAACUACGUG